UUGAAUUGGGACAGCUUUCGUCAUGUUGUGGUGACGCAAUCAGCCUUUAAAUGUGCCCUUGAAGGAUCCAGCCUUUGAGUUGGGACGCAGCUAAUGAAUUCAUGUUUUGCACAUGCUAGAUGUAAGCAUCUUCAACAGUGUAUUUAGGUUACCAUCUCUAAAAAUUAUCACUUAUCCCAAUUAUACUUUUUAAAUCCCAUAUCAAACUUGACCUGGUAAACAAUAAAAGGUUAGACAUGGAACUGCAAUUUAAAUUCUUUCAAAUAAUAAAUAUAAAAUCACAUUUAUUAUAUGGCUUGCAGGAUCUGCAAUGUUAAGUUAGACUUACCUGAAAAACAUAAAUCACUGUUCAUUUAAUUUGUACCUUUGUUCUGUUGUAUAUAUUUAUGCUUGUAAUUUAUUUUCUAUCCUACAAAAUCACCCCAAUCAUUCUAGAAUGAUCAAUUCCUUGCAAAUGGAGCUGUUCAAGUCAUCUGGUGAAGUUUUCACAUCGCAAUAUAUGAUGCAGAAAAACAAAUAGCAAUGUAAUUUUUUCCUAUUUCAUGCAGCCUCAAUUCUUGAACUGAGCACAGUAUUUAAAGGGAGCUUGCAUUAUAAACGUAUGUUUUAACAUUAGAUGUCAUUCCCCACUGUCCCAUCAAACAAUUUACAUUUAUGCUUCAGCAGAUGGUUUUGUCUAAAGGCUCAUACAGUGAAUUCAACCUGAAAGUUUGAUCAAUGUUUGAGCCUCAUGAAAUGAAGAGAGUCUCAGGACUGUGAAGAAUCUCUUACAAGAUGUCAGGAGUUACAGAAGAUGAUCUGCAUCUAAACAUGUCCAGCACAGUGACUGCUUCCCAGAAUCCUGAUUCUAGGAGAGAAGAGAGCCUAAGCCUACCUCCUUUGAUGAAGGAUCUGAGGAUUGUCCUCCUGGGGAAGAGUGUGUCAGAAAACAGUGGAGUGGGAAACUUCCUGUUGGGACGAGCAGCGUUUGACAGUGAAGCUCCUCCAGAUGUUGUAGAGAGAGUCGGAGGAAGAUUGAAGGACAGACACGUGACCGUCAUCAACAGUCCUCAGCUGCUCCAGACAAACAUCUCAGAUGAUCAGUUCACACAGACAGUGAGAGAGUGUGUGUCUCUGUCUGAUCCAGGA